UACGAAGGGGGCUAGCGUUGCUCGGAAUCACUGGGCGUAAAGCGCACGUAGGCGGCUUUUUAAGUCAGGGGUGAAAUCCUGGAGCUCAACUCCAGAACUGCCUUUGAUACUGGGAAUCUCGAGUCCGGGAGAGGUGAGUGGAACUGCGAGUGUAGAGGUGAAAUUCGUAGAUAUUCGCAAGAACACCAGUGGCGAAGGCGGCUCACUGGCCCGGUACUGACGCUGAGGUGCGAAAGCGUGGGGAGCAAACAGG
rnacentral:rRNA from 1 species